UUGUUUUCACGGCAGCAUAUAUACUGUAAUUGGAAUGAUACAGAGAAGAUUACCAUGGCCCCGGCCCAAGGAUGACAUGCAAAUUUGUGAAGCAUUCCACAUUUUU
ensembl:snRNA U6 U6 spliceosomal RNA